GCCAGUGUGACAUAGUGGUUUGAGCAUUGGACUAUGAUUCUGGAGACCAGGGUUCAGUUCCCUGCUUGCCC